rnacentral:pre_miRNA from 1 species
AGGAGGAACAACCCCAGUGGCUGCAUCAGCUCUGGAAACCUGGAUUCAGCUCCCGCAGGAACUCCGGAGCUCUCCGUCUGCAGGGCCUGGAGGCUCCGGGGUGGG